rnacentral:rRNA from 1 species
UCUGGUCAAGCACGCAGCCAGUCAUGUAGGCAAAUCCGCAUGGCGCGCAUGGCGAGGUGUGAUGAUGGGAGCCGUUAUGGCUCGAUAUCCGGUUGUCCAGGCCGUCGAGAAAAGCCUCGGCGUGAGGGCCAUGGCCGCCCGUACCCCAAACCGACACUGGUGGUCAGGUAGAGAAUACCAAGGCGAUCGAGCGAAUCCUGGUCAAGGAACUCGGCAAAUCACUCCCGUGCCUUCGGUAUAAGGGAGACCCGCUGGGGUGAACCGGCUAGCCCGGGGAGCUUUGGUGGGUGGCACAGACCAGGGGGUAGCGACUGUUUACCAAAAACACAGGUGCAUGCGAAGGCGAAAGCCGCUGUAUAUGCACUGACGCCUGCCCGGUGCCGGAAGGUUAAGAGGAUCCGUCAGUCCCUUCGGGGACGAAGCGGUGAAUUCAAGCCCCGGUAAACGGCGGUGGUAACUAUAACCAUCCUAAGGUAGCGAAAUUCCUUGUCGGGUAAGUUCCGACCUGCACGAAUGGCGUAACGACUUCCCCACUGUCUCGACCAGGAGCUCGGCGAAAUUGCAGUACGAGUAAAGAUGCUCGUUAAGCGCAGAAGGACGAAAAGACCCCGGGACCUUUACUAUACCUUGGUAUUGGCGUUAGGCGCGGAUUGUGUAGCAUAGGCGGGAGGCUUCGAAGCGGGUGCGCCAGCAUUCGUGGAGCCGCAAGGUGAAAUACCGCUCUGUUCUCGUUUGACGUCUAACCUCGACAAGUCAUCCUUGUCAGGGACAGUGCCUGGCGGGUAGUUCAACUGGGGCGGUUGCCUCCCAAAGAGUAACGGAGGCGCUCAAAGGUCCGCUCAGCCCGGUUGGCAAUCGGGUGUCGAGUGUAAUCGCACAAGCGGGCUUGACUGCGAGGACGACGGUCCGAGCAGGGACGAAAGUCGGAGAUAGUGAUCCGGUGCCGGCGCACGGGCGCGGCAUCGCUCAACGGAUAAAAGGUACCCCGGGGAUAACAGGCUGAUCAUUCCCAAGAGUCCAUAUCGACGGGAUGGUUUGGCACCUCGAUGUCGGCUCGUCGCAUCCUGGGUCUGGAGCAGGUCCCAAGGGUUCGGCUGUUCGCCGAUUAAAGCGGCACGCGAGCUGGGUUCAGAACGUCGUGAGACAGUUUGGUCUCUAUCCUCUGCGCUCGUUGGAAUCCUGAGGAGGCCUGCCCAUAGUACGAGAGGACUUGGGUGGACGAACCUCUGGUAUGCCGGUUGUCGCGCCAGCGGCACGGCCGGUUGGCUACGUUCGGGAGGGAUAACCGCUGAAAGCAUCUAAGCGGGAAGCCUGCUCCAAGAUUAGGAUUCCAUGGAUCUUCGAGAUCCUGUAGCCCGCAUGUUGAACACGUGUUUGAUAGGCCGGAGGUGGAAGCCCCGCGA